GUAGGGAAUCUUCCACAAUGGGCGAAAGCCUGAUGGAGCAACGCCGCGUGUGUGAUGAAGGGUUUCGGCUCGUAAAACNCUGUUGUAAGAGAAGAAUGACAUUGAGAGUAACUGUUCAAUGUGUGACGGUAUCUUACCAGAAAGGAACGGCUAAAUACGCGCCAG
rnacentral:rRNA from 1 species